CUGAACAUUAAAGCUUGUGAUGGAGAGAAGUAAAUUUUCGGUUUAUCCUUCGGCCCAGUGUGCUGUACGUGUUUCCUGACUGCCGGGCACGUAGUAUUUUAAAAAUACUGCCCGGAAGCCGCAUGUAGACCAGUAUUUCGAUUCCGAUGGAAUUAUAAAGUUUGAUAGUUUAGUCUUUAGAUACAUGUGAUGGAUAUUUUGACUAUAGCCUAAACUAGAUAGAGUACACACAAUAUAUCUGAUGAACUGGACCAAGAAAUGUAGAACUACAAAACACGUGUCUAUUUGAAUAAAAUAACCACUAACAGUAACUUACAUCAUGGUCUAUCAAGAUAUGAAUCAUAUGAUGGUCUGGAAACUUAGCAGAAGUGUUUUUUAUAUGUUUUUGUCUGAGUUUAUGUUACAUAAUCAUUGCAUUUUGGUAUAAUUAAGCAACCGUCCAAUAGGGAUAGCUGAGACAAAGGAUUUGCGCAUGGUAAGGCACAGUCCAACAUCAAACAAAGGUCUUCUAUUUUGCAGCUUUGAAGUUUGUCAGGCUUCCAGACCAUGAUCAUAUGACAUAUGCUUACAUGUUAAACUUCUUAUUCUAUAACGUCUUAAUUCUAAGUAUUCUACAAGAGUCAAUCAUCUGCAAAUCCCACGAUGUUACUAGUUGUACGAUACAAAACUAUAGCUCUACAAUUAAGUGUUAAUUCCCUUUGUUUUGGUUCUGUAAAUUAGUCAUUCACUUGCAUGAUGACGCUUUUCUACAUGCAAAGCCACAAUGCCACUUGCUACAACAUCUGCACUCCACGUCGUGUGCAUAACAAGCCCAACUAGCGUAUUUACAACAUCCUCUGUAAUUGCCACAACAUCCAUAAUCGCUUCCAUAUAUGUACCAGCCUCGUCUAUUCGUCAGGGCACCCCAUCCUCUGCGACAUUUCCUCCGUAUAACAAUACCCCGUUUCUGCAAGAUACUGGCACUGCGUUUCGUUUCGUAAUCGCCGACGUUGCCGUUGGCUAGCACGAGGAAACUGAGUAGAAGACUCACGAUAAAAACCAGUUGCAGAAAUUUCAUUGUUUAUGAAAGCU